rnacentral:rRNA from 1 species
GGCGGGGUAACGGCCCACCAAGCCUUCGAUCAGUAACUGGUGUGAGAGCACGACCAGUCACACGGGCACUGAGACACGGGCCCGACUCCUACGGGAGGCAGCAGUAAGGAAUAUUGGUCAAUGGACGCAAGUCUGAACCAGCCAUGCCGCGUGGAGGAUUAAGGCCCUCUGGGUUGUAAACUCCUUUUAUCUGGGAAGAAAUGCUUUGAUUCUUCAAAGCUUGACGGUACCAGAGGAAUAAGCACCGGCUAACUCCGUGCCAGCAGCCGCGGUAAUACGGAGGGUGCAAGCGUUAUCCGGAUUCACUGGGUUUAAAGGGUGCGUAGGCGGGUAAGUAAGUCCGUGGUGAAAUCUCUGAGCUUAACUCAGAAACUGCCGUGGAUACUAUUUGCCUUGAAUAUUGUGGAGGUGAGCGGAAUAUGUCAUGUAGCGGUGAAAUGCUUAGAUAUGACAUAGAACACCAAUUGCGAAGGCAGCUCACUACACAAUCAUUGACGCUGAGGCACGAAAGCGUGGGGAUCAAACAGGAUUAGAUACCCUGGUAGUCCACGCCCUAAACGAUGAUUACUCGACAUCAGCGAUACACUGUUGGUGUCUGAGCGAAAGCAUUAAGUAAUCCACCUGGGAAGUACGACCGCAAGGUUGAAACUCAAAGGAAUUGACGG